rnacentral:rRNA from 1 species
UACGUAGGGCGCAAGCGUUGUUCGGAAUUACUGGGCGUAAAGGGCUCGUAGGCGGCCAACUAAGUCAGACGUGAAAUCCCUCGGCUUAACCGGGGAACUGCGUCUGAUACUGGAUGGCUUGAGUGUGGGAGAGGGAUGCGGAAUUCCAGGUGUAGCGGUGAAAUGCGUAGAUAUCUGGAGGAACACCGGUGGCGAAGGCGGCAUCCUGGACCAUUACUGACGCUGAGUGAGCGAAAGCCAGGGGAGCAAACGGG